AUCUACGGUCAUAGAAUCUAGAAAACGCCGCAUCCCGUCUGCUCUGCGUAGCUUUAAGCUGGAUAUCGCUCGGUUAGUACCAAAGUGGGGGACCAUUUGGGAAUCCCGAGUACUGUAGUUG
rfam:Kwoniella mangroviensis CBS 10435 unplaced genomic scaffold supercont2.6, whole genome shotgun sequence.